UCCUAAAUCUCACGCUUUUUCCCUCUUUGUGUUGAACACCGAUGAUGGAAGAAAUCCCAUUCGUUUCGCAGCUUAUAAACACCGAUUUGAAGAAAUCCCCACCGAUUUGCAGGUUUGUUCUCGCACGUGGCACUUUCGGCACCGUCACCUCCUCUCAAAUUUCACUUUCGGUUGAACAGCGGCAGUGACAAUUAGGGUGUUAAGAUCUAGGGUUCCGACAAAAACGGAGAUGGUUACAGUUGGAUUUCAUAUUCUGGUGGCGAUGACUAGAUUAUUGAUGAGGUUUUGGUUGGAAUUCGCGACUGCAUGCUCAAGUUUAGGAAAACAAGGGUUUGGUAAGUAGAGAUUCCGGAGAUAUAUGGCAUAAACAAGCUUUCUAUAACAACAAGAAGUAGAAGGCGGAGGUGCUGCUAGGCCCCAACUGUACAAGAUUUGAUAUUUAAAAGUGAGAUGUUGAUAAUUUAUGGGAGAUUGAGAAAUUGAGAUCAGGAUUGAUGAAAACUCACACAAUUGGUCAUGGGUUUAUCAUGUGCAAAGGUGGGUUUCUAUAAUUUGUCAGAGCUACUGGACAUAAAUAUGGAUUCUGCCCAAUGACAACGUUUCAGGUUCAUGAAUAUUUUAGGCCUAAGGUUAUGUUGAAGUUGGGUGAUAUACAUAAAAACAAAUUUCAUACAAGAUAAAACAAGGGGAAGCUUUGUCUCUUGUGUCCUGCCUAAAAAGAGACAUUGGGAAGCUAACAUACUUUAUGGGACUAGAAGUACAGCAAAGAUCAGAUGGCAUUUACUUGUCUCAAAAGCAAUAUGCUAAGGAUAUAUUGAACAGGUUUGGAAUGGCUUCAUGCAAGUGUAGCCGUUACAAUCCCGCGCAGAGUCAGUCAAAUAAGUUAGUGAAUCUUUUGUGGUCAUUUUGGAUAACACGGAUUGUUAGUAGAAGGUUGUUAGGAGUGUUUGUUUGUUUGAGUCUUUGAGUCUGCUGUAACCUGCACUAUAUAAGCUGGUUCUCGGUUAUUAAUAAAAUACUUUGCAAUUACCUCG
rnacentral:lncRNA from 1 species